rnacentral:rRNA from 1 species
UACAGAGGUCUCAAGCGUUGUUCGGAUUCAUUGGGCGUAAAGCGUGCGCAGGCGGUUUUGUAAGUCUGUCGUGAAAUCCCCGGGCUCAACCUGGGAAUGGCGAUGGAGACUGCAAGGCUAGAAUCUGGCAGAGGGGGGUAGAAUUCCACGUGUAGCGGUGAAAUGCGCAGAUAUCAGGAGGAACACCUAUUGCGAAGGCAGCUCGCUGGGACGUAACUGACGCUGAGACGCGAAAGCGUGGGGAGCAAACAGG